CCAAGAACUAAAGGUAAGUUUUAUAUCAAGAAUUUAAAUUAAUAUUAUUUUCCCCAUAUUUGGUCGGGAAUAAGUGAAUUAUUUUUUUUUUCUAUAUAUGAAACGUCAAGUGAGGAUAACUAAUCCUUUUUUAAUGUCUUGUCCGAUAACAAAAAUACUUACCACUAUCCUCACUUUAUUCUUUCUUACCAAAAUGAGAGAUCAAAUUAACAAAUGGUUGCUUACCAAGUAGACGGAGUCUCGAGCCGCAAGCGCAACGACAUCGGCGCAAGAGACGACCUGUCCACACGCCUUGUCGAUGAGUGCUCGGAGGUCGUUGAUGGCCUUGAAAGCUGCCGGCCGGAGUGUUAGGUUCGGCGGCGCCUGCUGUUCGCCUGGUCCGCUCGCCGAGCCAUCCAACAAUACAGACCCAUCACACCCCUGCACAUAUAUAUCAACUUACCCGAUCGGGUUAGUAUGGAUAACUACUUUUUCUUUUUAGAGGGAGAAAGAUAUAUAGCAAACUAUGUAUUUGCUUCGUUCAUUUAUUUUAUAAAUAAGCUCAACUAAAUACGAAACAACUAUGUUUCAAACUUGCUAUCUCAUAUAACAACCAUAAAGCCCUUAAUUAGUAUGAAUAAGUUAUGUUUGCAAUUAGAAUAUAUAGUUGUACAUAUACGUACGUAGGCACGUAGUAGGGUAUUUCACGGGUAAAAAUGUACUGAGAUCGUCACAACUAACUACUAUUUUGACGUAAAGCACUGAAUCAUCAUUUUUUUAAAAAUAUUUUGAUACUUCUUCAACUUUUACAUAUUUUGGUCUAAGUUGUUCCAGUCACUUAACUUGUGAAUUCCCUUAAAUUUAGCUGUAUAAAUUUUAAUAACAAAAAUUUAUAGUUUUUUUUAGAGUACGUACUUCAGCUAAAACGCAGCUGAUAGAGUCAUUAAAUUUGAUAAAAGUUGCGCAUACACACUUUUACUUAUUUUUGCUCACCUGAACGAAGCAGUCGUGGAAGUGGAGGCGGAGGAGGCCUGCGGCGAGGCCGAUGUUGUUCUUGAACGAGUUCUUGAGGAAGUCCCUCACAAUGGAGUCCAAGUUGGGGCAUUUGGACUUGUAGAAGCUGAAGGAGAGGCCAUUCACUAAGGGAGGAUAAUCAAACUCAUCAGCCCUAGUUGGAGAGCAGAGAGAGGAGAUACAAAUGGCUAAUAGGAGGAGGAGAGACAUGGUAGAAAGAGAGGAAGAAGCAGAAGCAGAAGCCAUUUUUUGGUAUCUUUGAGGGGAUGAUCAAAACUAAGUAGAGAUGUGGAGGGGGCGAUGAGGAAACUGGAUGAGGUAUCGGUGAAUUUAUAGGCAUUAAUUAAGAGCAUGGACUGUGGACAGCACGUGGCUGCAGCACUGUCACAGCUUGAAGCUUUGAAUAUGGAAACAUGCAUGUAUCGACCAUUUAUUUAUUUAUUUAUUUGUUUAGGGGUAAAUUUUAUUUACAUGAGUUCUCCGUUUAAUACCAAAUAUUUUAUUUUUAGAGUUAAACUCUACUUAAAUUUAUUAAUUUAAAAAAAAUGAAGAAGUUUUAAUGUAUAGGACAUACAACUAUAUAUAUAUAUAUAGAGAGAGAGAGAGAGAGAGAGAGAGAGAGUUGAGCUAGAAUACUAUCGGUAGCAAACGAGUUCCGUUGCCAACCAUUUGUUUUUGAUGAUGGAGCCCCCAAAUCGACGAUCGGUAUCGUUGAACAUGAUCUAUACCACUUGAAAUGUUUAAAAAUCAAAUUUCAUACAUUUUCAAUAUUAUUCUCUUAUCCAUUAAGUGGACACAAAAAUGAACGGCUGAAAAUGAAUAUUCUUUAAAAAAUGAUGAUAGGAGUCUUAUAGUCAAAAUCAAGGGUACAGAUCUUGUUUUAAAUAGUUUAAAGAAUUUUCUAAUAAAAACUCAAUUGAUUUGAAAAUCUUUACACCGUUAAACGAAAAAAAGCCUCAUAUCGACCAUUAAAAUUACAAAUUUUGAAACUCUUUGAUCAUUAGGCAAAUAAUGUCGAAAAGAUUUGAAAUUUGAUUUAUAAACACUUCAAGUCGUAUAGAUCUUGUUUAACGGUGUCGAUCGUCGAUUUGGAGGCUCUAUCAUCGAAAAUAAAUGGGUGGCAACGAAGCCCGUUUGCUAUCGAUCACCUACUUAAUGUUAAAGGAUUACUAUCAUUCUAGCCACGCAUGUCUUAAUCCAAAGAUCGAAAAUCUAUAUAGUAGAUCAAUUAUAUAUAUAUAUAUAUAUAGAGAGAGAGAGAGAGAGAGAGAGAGAGAGAUGAGUUAGAAUACUCUCAAAAGCACCAAGAGUUUGGUGCUUUUGAGUUUUUAACCCUUCGAUGGAGAAAUGUAAGGUUGAAAUGAUGGUGGUCAGUGGUGGUAAGUAAAAUAGUAUUUAAUCUAAGGACUAUUAGUAAUUAAGGAGUAAAUUCAAUGGUUAAAAACCUAAUAGCACCAAGGGGUGAUGCUUCUAAAAAUAUUCUAGCUCAAUUUUAUAUAUAUAUAUAUAUAUGAGUCCGGCUAUGGUACUUGUAAAAGUACCAAGCACUUGGUGCUUGUAAAUUUUUUACCGUUAGAUCUCUGCCUUUGAUCAUUUUUACCCAUUAGAUUAUACUAUUCAGCUAACCACCCACUCAACCCUAAGGGCCCACAUCAUCCUAACCGCACAUCCUUAAAUCCAAGAGCCGAAAACUUACAAGCACCAAUGACUUGGUACUUUUAAAAGUAUAGGAGCUCAAUUCUAUAUAUAUAUAGAGAGAGAGAGUGAGGCUACUAUACUUCUGGAAGCACGGAGCCUUUCGUGCUUUUAAGUCGUUUUCGAUGUUGCGACUUUCGAAUCGUCGAUCGGCUCCGUUAAACUUGAUCUAGAGUAUUUGAACUACUUAGAAAAUAAAUUUUAUGAUUUUUCGAUAUCAUUUGCCUAGUGAUCGAAAGGACUCAAAAUCAAUAAUUUUAACGGUCAUGGUGAGCCGUUUGCAAGUUUAAGGAUGUAGAAAUAUCCAAAUCACGUGAAAUUUUGAUAGAAAAUUUUUUAUACUAUAUAAAACAGAUCAAUAUCUUUGAUCUAAAAUUUUAUAUAUAUAUCACUCCGAUGAUACAAAGACCUUUAUGCCUCGGAAGGCACGAAGAUUCAGUAAAAGCUACAACGCUGAAACCUUAGCAGCUAGCCGAGGCAAUUUGAACUAGAUCUCAUAAACUUCAUGGAUCUUUUAUUUAAAACGUUAAAAAGCUAUAGUAAACGGAUCACUUGAUUCCCCGAGUUUUAGUUGCCGACUUUUAUUUUUAGAAUGUUUUGCACUAUUAUACUAUAAUNUAUAUAUAUAUAUAUAUAUAUAGGGGGAGAGAGAGAGAGUCCGGCAACUAUACUAUGAUGACUACGAUCGCCUUUGUACUCAUAAGUCAUUUUCGAUGAUAGAGCUUCCAAAUCGAUAAUCCAUACCACUAAACAUGAUUUAGAGCAUUUGAAACUUCUAGAAACCAAAUUUCUUAAUUUUUCGACAUUAUUUACCUUACGAUCAAAAGAUCUCAUAAUUGACAGUUUUUAAUAGAAGGUAUGGGAUGCUUGUUCAUUUAACAGGAUAAAAGAAUCGUAAUCGAUUGAAUUUUUUAUAGAAAAUUCUAUGGACUAUCUAGAAGAAGAUCAAUAACUCCUAUCUUUUUUAGUUUCUAGGUGCUUCAAAUGUUCUAGAUCAUGUUUAACAGUAUGGAUCGUCGAUCGGGAUCUCUAUGAUCGAAAACGACUUAUAAAUAUGGAAAUCUCUGUACUCAUAAGAGUAUAAUAGGGCUAUAACACUCUUAUGAGUACGGAGGCCUACGUACUCAUAAAGUUAUUUUCGAUGAUAGAGAUUCCGAAUUGAAGAUCCAUACCAUUAAACAUGAUCUAGAGCAUUUGAAGUAUCUAGAAACCGAAUUUUAUAAUUUUUUGAAUUUAUAAUAAAGUCUAUCAAGCGGCUAUAAAUUAACGGUCAAAAUUGAACGAUCUCCUAAAAACAGGGAUAGGGUUCUUAAAUUCAAGAUCAGAGUUAUUGAUCUUGAUUUAUAUAGUGAAUAGAAUUUUCUAUCAAAAAUUCAACCAAUUUCGAUUCUUCUACACCGUUAACUAGGAAACGUCCCAUACUGACCGUUAAAAAUGUGAAUUUUACAUUUUUAAGGCCCUUUGAUCGUAAGGUAUAUAAUGUCAAAAAAUUAUAAAAUUCAAUUUCUAAAAUGUUUAAAUGCACUAAAUUAUAUUUAACGAUAUGGAUCGUCGAUUCAGAAGCUUCAACAUCGAAAAUGAUUUAUGAGUACGAAGGCGAUCGUACACAUAAUAGUAUAGUUGCCGCACUCAUAUAUAUAUAUAUAUAUAUAUAUAUAUAUAUAUAUAUAUAUAUGAGAGAGAGAGAGAGAGAGAGAGAGAGAGUGGGUGAGUGGUCCGUGAGAACUAGACUUUCUUGUGGACCACGUAUUUCCGAGCGGCUUGUGAGCGGCGAUUUUUUAGAGAAAGUUUUCGUUUUUCGCUGACUAUGGGCAGAGAACGAAAACUUUACUUUUUCAGAGAAUCCAAUAAAUUUUUUUACGAGCAAUCAAACAAUGAAAGAUCACUUUUCAGACAUUUUUUUUUUUUUUUUCAGAAUAGUUUUAUGGGAACCAAAUACCCCCUAAACUUCAACAUCAAAUAAAGCUGUCAUAUCUCAUAUGGCGGCCAUUUAUCAAAGUUUGCAAAGCAAAACAAAAGCACCAGCUUUCACUCUUUUCUCACGGAAAAAGACAAAGGUUUGCCAACUAAAUUCCUUGAUUCAUUGAAUUUGUUUAUCACUUUAUCCCCCUUACUUAACAUAUAUAAAUAUAUAUAUAAUAUUAAUUCAAGCGCUAGAAUUAAUUAAAGAGUUGAUUCAAGGGUUAAAAGUGAAAGCACAACAUGAGUUAUGCUUCUCCAAGCACCAUAUUCAUCUCUCCUCUCUCUCUCUCUCUCUCUCUAUAUAUAUAUAUAAUAUUUCCAAUGUUAAAGAUAAUUAAUAUUUUGUUUAGCAGAAAUGAAAUGAAGGUAAAAGAAUAACAACAAAUCAAUCGACAUUUCUAGAUUAACGAAAGCAAUAGCGCGUUACUUGAACUUUUAACUGACAAUUUUUCACUUUAGAUUAUUCUACAUUAUAUGGUCCUAGUUUUGCCACGUACAUUUAACCCAACCUAACUUUUACGCCCUAGAGAGAAAAAAAAUUCGUAAGUGUCCUUGGUUAACUGCAUGAAUUCCGCUAGAUUUAACUAUAAGUUCUACUUAACCUUGUUGUAUGUCUUUUUUCUUUUCUUUUUUUGAGAAUUCUUGUUGUAUGUCUUAAAAGUACAUCAAUUAAUUACAAUGAUCUAAUUUGAAGUUUUUGUAUUAGCGUGUGAUUUCGAGAUUGCACAUUUGUUUGUUUUGCACUGAUCACUUCUUUGUGCUCAUGCGACCGUGUGAUUGCACGUAAUAAAGCAAAGGUGAAACAGGUAUAACCUAAUAAUAGAAUUACCGACCGUCCCUAGAGUAAGUGGCAAAGGGCUUAAUGGUUGGUACUCGAGGUCCCAAGUUCGAAUCCUAGUUGAUUCAUAUUUCCAGCUAAGUUUAUUUCUAAAUGAAAUAAAUGAAGCGGGUAACGUGCUACCAAUCUCUCUCAAAAAAAAAAUAAUAGAAUUGAAUAUAGAGGCACAAAAGCAUAUUUAGGACUUACUGAUGAGAGGUGAAAUAAUAUUAAUCUAAAAAUUAAAAAGUGAUUAUAAAUAUCAUUCACUUAUUUAUUUAUUAUUUAAUAUUACAGCCAAACUCAACAUACUAACCUUACAUUAACAAACAUGGGGAGCUAUAUAUAUAUAUANUACUACCAUAAGGAAUGAAUAGCAGGAUAUAUGUAUGGGUGUAUGUUAACACUAUGUGUAUAUAUAUAUAUAUAUAUAUAUAUAUAUAUAUAUAUAUAUAUAUAUAUAUAUAUAUAUAUAUAUAUGCAAGAGAUCGUGCAACCUCUCUUAGUUACACCUCCACACGUGUUUUAUUAAUUACUGCACGCGAAGCCACCAUUAGCUUAAAAACCCAAAAGAGCAAACCGGCCCACACACAACUACAGCUUCACUAUCAGUUAAGCAACCAACAUGCACCAUGUUAAACCCCCUGGAAAUUAGAAAACCCUAGCACUCUCUCCCUCCUCCCCUCCCACCACCGACCACAAGAACUUGUUAUCGCCGUUCCGCGCGGAGCAAUUCGCCCUUAUCUCUCCCUCCCCACCCGUCAACACGCUCAGCUGCCCCAUCUUCACGAUCGAGAACACGAACUUCUCGAAAAAGAGCGGCUGGCUCACCGCGAACCUCGUCACGGUGCUCUUCGUCCGCUGGUCGGUGAACAAGUCCUGGUCGGACGUGAACAGCCCCUUACGGUUGAGCAGAUCAACGUAGUACUUGUUGUCGAACUUGUUCGGCGUGCAGAUGUCGUUGACGGUGGUGUUGACGGUGUUGGACGCGGGGCAGGUGAGUUUGAGGUUCUUGGCGAAGGUUUUGUCCAUGACGGGGUCUUGGGUGGGGUAGAGGCGGUUGGUGAAGGACGUGCAGUGCGCGAGGCCGAUGGUGUGGCCGCCGGAGAGGGAGACGAGGUCGGUGGCGUCGAGGUUGAUCUUCGAGAACACCGAAAGCAGCUUCGUCACGUUCGACGUCGGCGCCGGGAGGCUGGCCAGCGUCACGUCGCGCGUCGCGAACGUCAGGCCGUCGCGCCGGCCCAGCGGCAACUUGUACUUGGGCCCGCCGGACUGUCAUUGGAUUAAAGAAAGCGUAAAUAUUUAGCGAGCUAAACUAGAAGAACAUCAAAAAUUAAGCUACAUUAAUUAUCGUACAAUUCUAUAAAUAACAUUCCUUGGUCCUUACAUUACAGAAAUUUGUAUAAUAAGCAUCUUAGGCUAUAAACAAUUAUUUUUUCUAGACCGUGUCCGUGUGCAAGCACCAUAUCACUCUGUCGGCAAUUUAUAAAAUAUAAUAAUAAUAAUGAUAUUCAUGGGAGUUGACGCAACGCAACUUGACUAUCACUUUAAUACUUAAUUUGAGGAAUUCGGUCAAAAUAUAUGUUUUUCCUCUCUAGUGGGUUCACAUAAAUAAAUCUCGGUUUAGUUGGAGAAAAUCUUUGUCUUAAAAAGAAACAGAAGAAUUAAUAGUACGCUUUUGGGCCUCAAAUUAAAACUCUCCUAAUUUUUCUCCUCGUAGUAAAGACUUUUCUUGCUUUACCAAAUAUAAAACUUGAUCAGAAUAAAUAGUCUAAACAACUAUUUAAUUACUAGAAUAUAUAUCUCAUGUAAAUUUAUUAUCCAAGAAUUAAAGUUAAGUUUUAUAUCAGGAAUUUAAGUGUUAUUUUCCCUAUAUUUGGUCAGGAAUAAGUGAUUUUUUUUUUCUCUAUAUAUGAAAUUUCAAGUGAGGAUAACUAAUCCUUUUUGUAUGUCUUGUACGAUAACAAAAAUACUUACCACUAUCCUCACUUUAUUCUUUCCGACCAAAAUGAGAGAUAAAAUUAACAAACGGUUACUUACCAAGAAGACAGAGUCUCUAGCCGCAAGCGCAACGACAUCGGCGCAAGAGACGACCUGUCCGCACGCCUUGUCGAGGAGCGCUCGGAGGUCGUUGAUGGCCUUGAAAGCCGCCGGCCGGAGCGUUAGGUUUGGCGGCGCCUGCUGCUCGCCUGGUCCGCUCGCCGAGCCAUCCAACAAUAUAGACCCAUCACACCCCUGCAC
rnacentral:lncRNA from 1 species